rnacentral:rRNA from 1 species
UUGGAGGGCAAGUCUGGUGCCAGCAGCCGCGGUAAUUCCAGCUCCAAUAGCGUAUAUUAAAGUUGUUGCAGUUAAAAAGCUCGUAGUUGAAUUUCGGGGUUAGUAGGUUGGUCAUGCCUCUGGUAUGUACUGGUCUCACUGAUUCCUCCUUCCUGAUGAACCUUAAUGCCAUUUAUUUGGUGUUUUGGGGAAUUUGGACUGUUACUUUGAAAAAAUUAGAGUGUUUAAAGCAAGCUAACGCUUGAAUACAUUAGCAUGGAAUAAUGAAAUAGGACGUUCGAUCCUAUUUUGUUGGUUUCUAGGAUUGACGUAAUGAUUAAUAGGGAUAGUUGGGGGCAUUAGUAUUCAAUUGUCAGAGGUGAAAUUCUUGGAUUUAUUGAAGACUAACUACUGCGAAAGCAUUUGCCAAGGAUGUUUUCAUUAAUCAAGAACGAAAGUUAGGGGAUCGAAGACGAUCAGAUACCGUCGUAGUCUUAACCAUAAACUAUGCCGACUAGGGAUCGGAUAAUGUUAAUUUUUUAAUGACUCAUUCGGCGCCUUACGGGAAAC